rnacentral:rRNA from 1 species
UCUAAUACCGGAUANNANNNNNNNNGGCAUCUUGGAGGUUGGAAAGCUCCGGCGGUGAAGGAUGAGCCCGCGGCCUAUCAGCUUGUUGGUGAGGUAAUGGCUCACCAAGGCGACGACGGGUAGCCGGCCUGAGAGGGCGACCGGCCACACUGGGACUGAGACACGGCCCAGACUCCUACGGGAGGCAGCAGUGGGGAAUAUUGCACAAUGGGCGAAAGCCUGAUGCAGCGACGCCGCGUGAGGGAUGACGGCCUUCGGGUUGUAAACCUCUUUCANCAGGGAAGAAGCGAAAGUGACGGUACCUGCAGAAGAAGCGCCGGCUARSUACGUGCCAGCAGCCGCGGUAAUACGUAGGGCGCAAGCGUUGUCCGGAAUUAUUGGGCGUAAAGAGCUCGUAGGCGGCUUGUCACGUCGAUUGUGAAAGCCCGAGGCUUAACCUCGGGUCUGCAGU